UACAAAGCAGUUGACGCCCUGCUGAGGUGUGCUGUUUUUGAAAAUGAAUGCGGAGUCAUGGCAUGCAUAAAUUAGAUUUUGUCAAAUUAGUGUUUGACAGUUUCAUUUCUGGAAGACUUUAACUUCAAGUGAACGCCAGACAAGACUUGUUUUCGCCUGUGACAAGAAAGAUACUAUGUGGAUUCGAUAUGUACAGAAUGCUGUGCUGCCUGCCUUCCCAUUGUCCACUAUGCAGUCGUUUGAAGCAACUCUCUACCAUUGGUCAUGGGUGAAUGGCACAGAUGCAUCAGCUGCAGCCCAAACCUUCAGGACAUGAAAGCCGAGUAGAGUAAGCUUUGCACUGUAUGUGCAACCACAGUAUUGAUUCAAGUCAGCUAUACAGCAGCUAUUGCCUAUUGGGCGUGGUGUACAAUUUUUUUUGUAAUACUAAUAAAUCAUAAUAAUCUUCUACACUUGA